UGAGCUGGGUUUAGACCGUC
rnacentral:ncRNA from 3 species